GAGGUUUUCAGGGCUUCGGCUCGACUCCCCCACCCUUUGUGAACGUACCUCUGUUGCUUUGGCGGCUCCGGCCGCCAAAGGACCUCCAAACUCCAGUCAGUAAACGCAGACGUCUGAUAAACAAGUUAAUAAACUAAAACUUUCAACAACGGAUCUCUUGGUUCUGGCAUCGAUGAAGAACGCAGCGAAAUGCGAUAAGUAAUGUGAAUUGCAGAAUUCAGUGAAUCAUCGAAUCUUUGAACGCACAUUGCGCCCCUUGGUAUUCCGGGGGGCAUGCCUGUUCGAGCGUCAUUACAACCUUCAAGCUCUGCUUGGAAUUGGGCACCGUCCUCACUGCGGACGCGCCUCAAAGACCUCGGCGGCGGCUGUUCAGCCUUCAAGCGUAGUAGAAUACACCUCGCUUUGGAGUGGUUGGCGUCGCCCGCCGGACGAACCUUCUGAACUUUUCUCAAGGUUGACCUCGGAUCAGGUAGGGAUACCCGCUGAACUUAAGCAUAUCAUAAAGCGGAGGAA
rnacentral:rRNA from 1 species